rnacentral:misc_RNA from 1 species
UCACAAUAUCAAGCUUGGCUUGUUGUUGGGCCCUCUGUCACCUGGUGGCAGGUCCAAAAGACAAUAACCGGUGUCAUGCAGACUCUAUAUGCAACGAGCUUAUAACAGCACGCAUCUGGUGGUCGUGUGGCCCGGUUUUUAUAUAAAUACAUUUCUCAA